GACGAACCGUGCGAACGUUAUUCGGAAUCACUGGGCUUAAAGGGUGCGUAGGUGGCUUUUCAAGUCCGCCGUCAAAUCCCAGGGCUCAACCCUGGACAGGCGGUGGAAACUGCCAAGCUGGAGUACGGUAGGGGCAGAGGGAAUUUCCGGUGGAGCGGUGAAAUGCGUAGAGAUCGGAAAGAACACCAACGGCGAAAGCACUCUGCUGGGCCGACACUGACACUGAGAGACGAAAGCUAGGGGAGCGAAUGGG
rnacentral:rRNA from 1 species